AGUGAACGCUGGCGGCGUGCUUAACACAUGCAAGUCGAACGAGAACGGAAUAUAGCUUGCUAUAUUUGUCAGCUAAGUGGCGCACGGGUGAGUAAUGUAUAGAUAACCUGCCCUUAAGAAAGGAAUAACAGUUGGAAACGACUGCUAAUGCCCUAUAUGCCUUUAAUACAUAAGUAUGCAAGGGAAACGCUUUAGUGCUUAAGGAUGGGUCUGUAUGGUAUCAGCUUGUUGGUGAGGUAAUGGCUCACCAAGGCUAUGACGCCUAACUGGUUUGAGAGUAUGAGCAGUCACACUGGAACUGAGACAUGGUCCAGACUCCUACGGGAGGCAGCAGUGGGGAAUAUUGCACAAUGGACGAAAGUCUGAUGCAGCAACGCCGCGUGGAGGAUGACACAUUUCGGUGCGUAAACUCCUUUUAUAUAGGAAGAUAAUGACGGUACUAUAUGAAUAAGCACCGGCUAACUCCGUGCCAGCCGCCGCGGUAA
rnacentral:rRNA from 1 species